AAGGACCUUUCCAACCCAACCAUUCUGUGGUUCUAUGAUCUUUAAGAACCCUUCCACAUCAACCAUGCUGUGAUUCUACGAUCUUUAAGGACCCUUCCAAUGCAACCGUUCCAUGGCUCUACGAUCUUUAAGGACCCUUCCAAUCCAACCAGAAGCAGGCUCACUCGCAGCUCCAGCUCCUGCCAGGGAAUGCAGCAAACUACACAGCCUCCUGCCAGUGCUGUGACAAACAGUUGUUACGAGGGAAGAGCAGGAAGCAAGGAAGCAACAGGAAUUGUGAGCGAUUAGAUCAAUGAUGAAGCCCCUCUGAGAGCCUUCUGUCCAAGCCAGCACAAGGCCACUUGCUCUCAGCUCGCUGUGCACUCCAGCACUCCCAUUUGGGAGGCAACGCUCAGCCCUGCUGCUCUCCUCAAAGCCCAGCCUGAAGCCACAACUCCUCCAAUGCUGACUGCCAUCAACCGACGUUAUCUGCCUCCUGUGACCACCCAGUACAUUUCCCUUAACGUUGAAUGACCUAGUUAGAAACUUCUUCCCCUGUUUCCUUAUCCCCACUGUAGCUCAUCAGCCCUCCCAGUGAAGCUCUGUUGGCUGAAUUCACCCAAAGCAGACAUUUCUGCAACUCCAACAACCACAAGCUGUCUAGGGACGGGGAGCUGGCUUCGUCUCUCUGCCUCCACUAGCUGCAAAGGGAGCACUGCUGUCCAAGGUGCCACCGCCUCCAUCCCAGGGCUUCCACACCUAUGGAAAACCCACAGCCAUCUCCACUGGUAUCCAUUCAGUACCCCUUCCAAGCCUAGGGUUGGCUUCAGGCAGAGCCCACCCCCAGGACCCUGCACUCUUAAAGCUCAUGUGGUUCAAGUAAAAAAGCCCAAUAAAACCUCGCUACUGCUCCCCUACAAGAGCUAACUGAAAGCAUUCCAGUCUGCAUAUGAUAGGCUGGAUUUCUGCUAGCAAAAAGCGGAGCCCGCAUGAUGAGACACCGCAGGUUCUGGACAGCCCAGUGGUACCAUCACCUACUUAUUUGUGCCUUGGAUGAGUUAAGGAAAGCUCCUGCCCUGGUGUUCCCCGUUCUGCAGGUCCUCACAUUGCUGUGCCUCGGGUCCCUUCAACCCCACAACACCAACAAUGAAAGAAGUUUUGAACCACCAUUCAUCUGUUCUAUGUUUUCCACUACGAUGCACGUAAAAACUCACCCCCGUCCAGCUCUCUGUGCCAGCACCCCUUCCAAAGGCCGAACUGAAACAGGAGGGAAGGCAGACGGACAGACCCUCCCUAUGCCCACCCAGAGCUCCUCACCGACCUCAGGGUUUGAUCCAGAUGGGACCUCAACAUGGAAGGGGCUGCUUCUGUCCUUCUGCAGAGGUGAGCAUCGAUCAGAUUAUCAGCAAGCAGCCAACUGUGCAAUGGCUUGAUGGCCCUUACAGUGCCCCUUUGAAGCUUCUGCUUUGCUUUAAGCAGGUGUUCCAUUUCCAAUAAAGUCAAAGCUGUGCUUUUUAGUGCUUUAUUGUAUCAAUGUCCAUAACCGUUACUUGUCAUAACAGAAGAGAUAAGCCAAGAUCGGGCUGACUGAUAAACUGUUUGGUUUCCUGUUGGUUUGGACUUCCAGCAGAUAGCUGUAAUCAGCACAACGGACUGAAAGUCAUAAAUGAGAGCUGUUCAUUAAUAAGUGUCAUCCGGCACACAUUCUAACUGAGUUGCUUUCAUUACCCUCUCACAAAAAUCGGAGGCACCAACAGCUAGACAGUGGCAUAGGAGUAAUGAGAGCAGUGGAAGAUGACUCGAUAGAGCAAUGGGGAUGAGGAAGGAGAAAGAGUGGGAAGAAUGGAGAGGUGAACACAGGCUAAGUCCAGAGAGGCUACGGAAACACAACCUACUGGCAUCAAAACAAAGUUCAGCAAGAUAAGGAGCAGGAGGAGGGCGUACCCAUGAAGCCUGAUGUGGGAGCCAACGGGUAGCCAAGUGUGGUGCCCAAAGCCAUCCAGCCUCUAAGAGCACCCCUAUUCCCUCCCCUGCGCUCUGCACCUCCCCCUGUAUCUGAUGGCCUCAUCUCCUCCUGUCCACAGCUCUGGGAUCAGCCUGGAAAACCCCAGAAGGUCACGCUGUAGGUUCUCUCUACUGAAGGAUGCUGCCCUAUGAGCUGGAGCCUGGAAGAGGCAUCUGGCCAGCUCCAUCCCAAAAGCCACCAGCCCGUUCCUGUUUGUGCCUCCAGCUGCUCCCCCGUCCUCUGGCGACGCACACGCUGGUUAAUCAUUCCUCAGGCACCUUUAGCUCACUGGGGUUCUUAUCAGAGAGCACAAAGUCCAAGUCCCAACCAGCAGCACAGCUGCAGGGAGACAAGGGGCUUCCAACAAGCCUUGCCGCGACAGUGCCAGGCAGGGAUGCACUGCAGGGACCUGCCUCAUACACCCAUGCGUGCCUCAGGGCAAUGCCCAGCUCCCUGCAGCACUCACCAUGGAUGCUUUGCUCAAUGGAGACUUUCACCACUUGGCAUAUACUGGAGAGCUUUGCUCUUCCAAGAGAGUACUUCCAGGUGACAAACCCUGCUUUGCUUCCUUACCUUGCAUGAAGCCUUGAAUCCUAUGAAGAAGCCAAAGCAGCCCUUGGCCCUGCUACCCAAAACCAUGGACAGGAAGGGACACAUCACAACAACAGCAGCACUUCUUUGGCCCAGCUGGAUCCUCCAUCCCACCCCAGCAGGGCCCCCUCUGGGCCAGCAUCUCUUUCCGAUACCCGUUGCAGGCAGCAGCCCUUGUGUCAGCAGGAUCUCUGAGUCACCAGCAGCCCGGUCACAUCUCCCCAAAGCUCCACGGCACCUUUUCCUGCCUCAUGGCUGGUCCCUGCAUGGGCAUCGGGUCCCCAGACACCAACAUCAAUCUGAGCAUGGGCAAAGUACCUCUUGCCAUCCCCGACACAGCCUCCAUGGGCGCACGUGGCUCUGAAUCACAAGCCACCCCUUAUCAGAUGUCCUUAGAGAUCCACCCUCCUACAGGUGGCUUACUCUGUCCCCACUUCCCCCGUCCUUUCACCACCCAGGAGAACGAAGGUUUGGGGGAAGCUGAGGAAAGAGGGCAGGACGCAGAGAAGAACCAGCAUGGUUACGAGGGCAAGGAUGAGCGCUCCAGCUGAAGGCUCCUGGACCUCCUCCUGCUACUCCUGGAUGGAGCAACUCCCUCCACCAAGGAAUGAUCCCCAGAGCUGGCAAUGGGCUCAGAAAGAAAGAGAAAGAAAGGGCAGUGAGGAGGGGAAGCUGAGCUGUGGGAAGAUGGAGAGGGACCUGCACUGUUACCUGCUCGGAUCCAGUGCAUCCUGAGCAUGGUGAGAGCGGACAUCAAACCCCCGCCGCGUCCCUGCUCUCGCCCUCUGUCAUUUUGCUGCUUGUCCAGCUUGCAGGGCUGCCGAUUGCCAGUUUUUCUGUUCCUCUGGGGAAGAGUGGGAGGGCCAGGGAGUACACAGCUGCUACACUCUGGGAUUUGGGUCUGCGAGGGGAUUACCAGGAGGGAUGGUCAUGUGUUUGUGCUGUACCAGGUUCCCCGGGACGACUCUGUCACGGGCUCACUCUGCUCAGCAAAGAGCCCCACACAAAGCCUCUUUCCUUCCCCGCUGCACCAGCCCACCCCACAGACAUGGUGACACUGCAAGGCCACCUCUGCCCCAAGCCGUGGCCCCAUGUGGAGCACCACAGCGAUGCACUGCAAAGCCUACUGCCAGGGAUGCACUCAGGUCAUGCACAAGCUGGGACCAUUAAACACCCAGAAGCACAGACACUCUGACCCUGCGUAGUUGCAUUGCUACCUCAAGACCAAGUGCCAAAAAAAUCAUACAGUCACAGAAUGGUUGGGUCGGAAAGGUCAUUAAAGAUUGUAGAAGCACGGAAUGGUUGGGUUGGAAGGGUCCUUAAAGACCACAGAGCCAUAGAACGGUUGGGUUGGAAGGGUCCUUAAAGAUCACAGAGCCAUAGAAUGGUUGGGUUGGAA
ensembl:lncRNA